GCAGGGAAGAGGAAGAAAGAGAGAUCCUAAGAGCGGUAGGAGUGGGAACGUGAAGGAACAUGUAUGCUCUAAUUUCUCCUCCAGCAUUAGAGGCUGAUAUUUGCAUUGAUGUGUUCCUGAUGCCUCCCAUUCCAAUGGUUCUUAGACCCUCCUUCCUCUUCCUUUUGCCA
rnacentral:pre_miRNA from 1 species